UGCCCAGCAACUCCCAUCCCUACCUCCUCGUGGUACUGGCCGGGGUACGAGUAACCUUGGGGAAGAUCGGGUAACCAACCCCCGGUGGGAACUUUGGUCGUAUGCUGACAGGGAAGG
rnacentral:ribozyme from 1 species